rnacentral:rRNA from 1 species
GACGAACGCUGGCGGCGUGCUUAACACAUGCAAGUCGAGCGGUAUGGCCCUUUCGGGGGUACACGAGCGGCGAACGGGUGAGUAACACGUGGGUGACCUGCCCUCAGCUCUGGGAUAAGCCUGGGAAACCGGGUCUAAUACUGGAUAUGACUCCAUGACGCAUGUUGUGGGGUGGAAAGCCUUGUGCGGCUGAGGAUGGGCCCGCGGCCUAUCAGCUUGUUGGUGGGGUGAUGGCCUACCAAGGCGACGACGGGUAGCCGGCCUGAGAGGGCGACCGGCCACACUGGGACUGAGACACGGCCCAGACUCCUACGGGAGGCAGCAGUGGGGAAUCUUGCGCAAUGGGCGAAAGCCUGACGCAGCGACGCCGCGUGAGGGAUGACGGCCU